ACACACCGCCCGUCACACCAUGAGAGUUGGGGGAUACCCGAAGCCUGUGAGCCAACAGUUUACUGAGGCAGCAGUCGAAGGUAGAAUCGAUGAUUGGGGUGAAGUCGUAACAAGGUAUC
rnacentral:rRNA from 1 species